CCAGACUCCUACGGGAGGCAGCAGUGAGGAAUAUUGGUCAAUGGGCUUACGCCUGAACCAGCCAAGUCGCGUGAGGGAAGACUGCCCUAUGGGUUGUAAACCUCUUUUGUCAGGGAGCAACGCCGGCUACGUGUAGCCGGACUGAGAGUACCUGAAGAAAAAGCAUCGGCUAACUCCGUGCCAGCAGCCGCGGUAAUACGGAGGAUGCGAGCGUUAUCCGGAUUUAUUGGGUUUAAAGGGUGCGUAGACGGGAAGUUAAGUUAGUUGUGAAAUCCCAAGGCUCAACUUUGGAACUGCAACUAAAACUAAUUUUCUUGAGUACUGGAGAGGAAAGUGGAAUUCCUAGUGUAGCGGUGAAAUGCGUAGAUAUUAGGAGGAACACCAGUGGCGAAGGCGACUUUCUGGACAGAAACUGACGUUGAGGCACGAAAGUGUGGGGAGCAAACAGGAUUAGAUACCCCAGUAC
rnacentral:rRNA from 1 species